rnacentral:rRNA from 1 species
AUUGAACGCUGGCGGCAUGCCUUACACAUGCAAGUCGAACGGCAGCGCGGGGCAACCUGGCGGCGAGUGGCGAACGGGUGAGUAAUAUAUCGGAACAUACCCUAGAGUGGGGAUAACGUAGCGAAAGUUACGCUAAUACCGCAUACGCACUAAGGUGGAAAGUGGGGGAUUCGCAAGAACCUCAUGCUCAUGGAGUGGCCGAUAUCUGAUUAGCUAGUUGGUGAGGUAAAGGCUCACCAAGGCGACGAUCAGUAGCUGGUUUGAGAGAACGACCAGCCACACUGGAACUGAGACGCGGUCCAGACUCCUACGGGAGGCAGCAGUGGGGAAUUUUGGGACAAUGGGGGGCAACCCUGAUCCAGCAAUGCCGCGUGAGUGAAGAAGGCC